GCGAGGGUGGUGGAAUCGGCAGACACAACAGACUUAAAAUCUGUCGGGAAUUACUUCCCGUGAGGGUUCAAGUCCCUCCCUUCGCACCA
rnacentral:tRNA from 2 species